CAGGUUUACCGAACUUACGCGCCCUUCUCCGCUAGCCCUGGCUGGGUCACCCCCACGACCCGGGACUCUCCCGCCGUUCCCGCCCGGGCUGCCUGCAAUGAGGUCCGCUCCUGAGGCCUCAGCCUCGCCGGGGGCAGGGCCCACUCCCGCCGUCGCCGCAGCUCCUUUCCGUCCCGGGGCCUGGGGGGCACUGUCCCACGGGUGAGGGCCGCCUCCAGCGCCCGGCCCAGCCAUGCGAACGCCUGGAGCCCGCGAGCUGCAGCUGCGGCCCUGAAGGUGCCGCACAUCCUGCCGGGUGGGUGAAGCGUGGCACUUUGGAAAACAAAGCGGGUGAUUCACCUGCCUCGGCCUCCCAAAGUGCUGGGAUUACAGGCAUGAAUGACGGUGCCCAGCUGACACAAGGUACUUUCUAUGAGGUCCUAGGAAUGAAGGAAAACAGGCAAUAAGGCAAGAAUCGCUGUCGAAGGAGUCUGCGCCACCUGCUCGCACAGCUCAGUUGUGCCUUCUGAGCCUGCUCGAGCCCAGUGUACAUAUGCCGUCUCCACGUGAUUAGAGAUUGCUGCUGCACGUGCCCAGUCCCGCGGCGGGGCUGGAA
rnacentral:lncRNA from 1 species